rnacentral:rRNA from 1 species
GCAUAACGCGAAGAACCUUACCAAGGCUUGACAUACACGAGAACGGGCCAGAAAUGGUCAACUCUUUGGACACUCGUGAACAGGUGGUGCAUGGUUGUCGUCAGCUCGUGUCGUGAGAUGUUGGGUUAAGUCCCGCAACGAGCGCAACCCUCGUCCUAUGUUGCCAGCACGUAAUGGUGGGAACUCAUGGGAGACUGCCGUGGUCAACACGGAGGAAGGUGGGGAUGACGUCAAAUCAUCAUGCCCCUUAUGUCUUGGGCUUCACGCAUGCUACAAUGGCCGGUACAAAGGGCUGCAAUACCGCAAGGUGGAGCGAAUCCCAAAAAGCCGGUCUCAGUUCGGAUUGGGGUCUGCAACUCGACCCCAUGAAGUUGGAGUCGCUAGUAAUCGUAGAUCAGCAACGCUACGGUGAAUACGUUCCCGGGUCUUGUACACACCG